CGAACAUAAAUGAGAAAGACAGAUUGAUAGCUCUAUGAUGAAUCUAUAGGAAGUGGUACAUAGCCGUUCUUAGUUCGUGUAGUCAUUUGUCUGGUUAAUUCCGAUAACGAACGAGUCUCAAAUACAUGGUUGAGCAAAGCGAAGUAUUUAGUAAUUACUUACGUAAUUUAAAUGUAAAUGACUUCCGUAAUUUAGGUAUAUAACUAACAUUUUGAAUGGAAAUAGUUAAUUACUUACAU
rnacentral:ncRNA from 1 species